rnacentral:rRNA from 1 species
GAGUUUGAUCCUGGCUCAGAACGAACGCUGGCGGCACGCCUAGCACAUGCAAGUCGAGCGCGACCUUCGGGUUGAGCGGCGGACGGGUUAGUAACGCGUGGGAACAUACCCUUCACUAAGGAAUAGCCUCUGGAAACGGAGAGUAAUACCUUAUACGCCCUACGGGGGAAAGAUUUAUCGGUGAAGGAUUGGCCCGCGUUAGAUUAGUUAGUUGGUGGGGUAAUGGCCUACCAAGACUACGAUCUAUAGCUGGUUUGAGAGGAUGAUCAGCAACACUGGGACUGAGACACGGCCCAGACUCCUACGGGAGGCAGCAGUGGGGAAUCUUAGACAAUGGGCGCAAGCCUGAUCUAGCGAUGCCGCGUGAGUGACGAAGGCCCUAGGGUCGUAAAGCUCUUUCGCCAGAGAUGAUAAUGACAGUAUCUGGUAAAGAAACCCCGGCUAACUCCGUGCCAGCAGCCGCGGUAAUACGGAGGGGGUUAGCGUUGUUCGGAAUUACUGGGCGUAAAGCGCGCGUAGGCGGACUAUUAAGUUAGAGGUGAAAUCCCAGGGCUCAACCCUGGAACUGCCUUUAAUACUGGUAGUCUUGAGUUCGAGAGAGGUGAGUGGAAUUCCGAGUGUAGAGGUGAAAUUCGUAGAUAUUCGGAGGAACACCAGUGGCGAAGGCGGCUCACUGGCUCGAUACUGACGCUGAGGUGCGAAAGUGUGGGGAGCAAACAGGAUUAGAUACCCUGGUAGUCCACACCGUAAACGAUGAAUGCCAGACGUCGGCAAGCAUGCUUGUCGGUGUCACACCUAAC